GUUUACUCUAAGCUUUGACAUCGUGAUUUGUCCAAUCAAUAAAAUAGAGAGACGAAGAAUACGUGAAGACAGGGACCAAGGUAGGUUGGUAAAGGUAAUCACGUGAAAAAUAUCCGUUUUAAAGGACGCGAAAUCUUAGUUCCUUUAUUAUAUUUCAAGCCGAGCAUUACCGCGGGAUAACUGUCUUUGACAGUGUCAGACCACAGAAACGAGAAAUUCAUUUUCAGGGAUGAAAGGGAGGAAAU